GGAGGUAUGGUUCAAAUGGUAGAGUACUAGCUUAGCAAGUGAAAAGUCCUUAGUUUAAACCUAAGUAACUCCU
rnacentral:tRNA from 1 species